rnacentral:rRNA from 1 species
AUUGAACGCUGGCGGCAGGCCUAACACAUGCAAGUCGAACGAGUGGCGGACGGGUGAGUAAUGUUUGGGAAACUGCCUGAUGGAGGGGGAUAACUACUGGAAACGGUAGCUAAUACCGCAUACCCUCGGAUGAGCCCAGAUGGGAUUAGCUAGUUGGUGGGGUAAAGGCUCACCAAGCCGACGAUCCCUAGCUGGUCUGAGAGGAUGACCAGCCACACGGGAACUGAGACACGGUCCAGACUCCUACGGGAGGCAGCAGUGGGGAAUAUUGCGCAAUGGGGGCAAGCCUGAUGCAGCCAUGCCGCGUGUAUGAAGAAGGCCUUCGGGUUGUAAAGUACUUUCAGCGGGGAGGCGUUACCUGCAGAAGAAGCACCGGCUAACUCCGUGCCAGCAGCCGCGGUAAUAC